UCACUGGUUAGCAGCUGCAGCUAACAUGUGCUCUCAAAUUUAAGAUUCCUGCAGAGCUAUCAGUCUCUGGUAGUGCUUUUUUAGUCCAAAAGCCGGAGAAAUAGCGACUGAAGUAUCAAACUACGGUCUUUAUUAGUUUAGACUUAUAAAAAAAUGGAUAUGGGUUUUCUUCUUCACGCCCUCAUUCCUUCAUGGAACUCAGUCGUUGUACUAGCAUUUUUCUUUUUUUAUCUGGCUAUUGCUGGAUCUAUAUUGCCUGGUAAAGUUGUUCCUGGAGUGACCCUGCAGGAUGGUUCUCGUCUCUAUUAUCGUUGCAAUGGGUUGGUAUCGUUGCUGUUGCUGGUCGCUCUUCUUGGGAUUGGCGCUAAGAUGGAUCUUGUAUCACCCACUGUGAUAUCAGAGAGAGGACUUGAGCUGCUUUCAGCAACUUUUAUUUUCAGUGUUCUUGUGGCGAUGGUACUCUACGCUGCUGGUUGCAAUUCACAAAACCACGGUUCUUCGCUUAAGCCUCAUGUUACAGGGAACCUAAUACAUGAUUUCUGGUUUGGAAUACAGCUCAAUCCUCAUUUCUUGGGCAUUGACCUCAAGUUCUUUUUUGUUAGAGCUGGAAUGAUGGGCUGGCUAUUUAUCAACCUAUCAGUUUUAGCAAAAAGUAUUCAGGAUGCCAACUUGAGCUGUUCAAUGAUUCUUUACCAAAUAUUCUGUGGGUUAUACAUCCUGGAUUACUUCUUUUAUGAGGAAUACAUGACCUCCACAUGGGACAUAAUAGCAGAGAGAUUGGGCUUCAUGCUAGUAUUUGGUGAUCUUGUUUGGAUUCCAUUCACGUUUAGCAUCCAGGGUUGGUGGCUUUUGGGAAACAAAGUGGAGUUAACAAUGGCUGCUGUAAUAGCAAAUUGCUUUGUUUUUCUGAUUGGGUAUCUGGUCUUUAGAGGAGCUAACAAGCAAAAGCAUGUUUUCAAAAAGAAUCCAAAAGCCCUCAUAUGGGGUAAGCCACCAAGGGUUGUUGGUGGAAAAUUGCUUGCUUCUGGUUAUUGUGUUUCAUAACAUGAGGUAAAGAAGCCAACCUAUUGACUGGCUUAGUAUUGUUUGAUUUGGCUCUAAGAUGCAUAGGUGGCCUCACCUGUUUGUCAAAACAUAUUUCCAAACCAGUCGGGAGCUGCUGUCACAUAAGCUCUUCCUGGAGGGGGAUUGCAAGACAUUGUAAUUAUCUUGGAGACCUAUUGUUGGCGCUGUCAUUUAGUCUACCUUGUGGGACAAGUUCCCUUGUUCCAUAUUUUUAUCCGAUUUAUCUUCUUAUUCUGCUAAUAUGGAGAGAGAGAAGGGACGAGGCUCGAUGUGCCGAGAAGUAUAAAGAAAUAUGGGCUGAAUACCGGAGACUUGUUCCUUGGAGAAUACUGCCUUAUUUUUAUUAAGAAC